AGCUGUGACAUUGCAAGAUGAAGGCCUUAGAUUUAUUUGUGCUUUUAUCUCGGAGUGCUUCCUGUUACAGCCAGGAUAACUACAGAUGACUACAUCUGGUGGAUUCUCUCAACCCCAAAAAGUCCCUGGCAGAUGUGCAGAGAUACUGAGCUUGGUUCUGCUGGAGGUUAAAGGUUCCUCCGGAAGCGUUGCAUCGGCUAAGGGAUACAUGACAGAGUGGGAGGGGGGCCGGCGUUAUUGGAUACCUCUUCAGCUACUCAAACUCCACAAGAUGUCAUUCUCAUCUAUAUUUGCUGAGGCCACCUUUUCCCUCUUCGCCACACUAUCUCAUUACAAAGCAGAAAGGUGACAGAGGAAUCACUGAAGGACUCUAGGUGUGAGCGCAGCGUUUUAUGAGAAUAUAUUCUUGAUGCUAUAUUAUUUUAAGAUGGAAUCACCUGGGUUAUGUCUGUAAAGGUUCACAUAAAGAACCUCUGUGUUAUUGUUUUACCAAAUAUAGUAUGCAUCAAAAUGUGCUGACCUUGACUUAGACCUGACAUACAAGUAUGUGAAGCAUAUAGAAGUAUUUUCACUGACUGUAGCACUAGAUCUUGCUAUCAGUUCUAAGUUUUUUAUAAUUAACUUUAUUUAUUCCCACUGUAAACCAAAACUUGGGAUUGUGUCACAUCAUUUUAAAUCCUGAUCCUUUGUCACCACAUUAUUUAUCUGCUUUUCAUUCCAGUGAUGCAGGCAGACAUGAUGCCGGGGUAAAAUACUGCUCUGGCAUCUCCUUAUUAUGCAUUCGACACUGCAGGAUGUACAAUUUUAUCUCCACAUAAACCAGGCUGUCACGGAUUGUUUGGACAUGUUGAGCGAGUGCUGGCUCUCUCACACACAUACUUCACAUGUGCACCACAGCUAGGGAACCAAUGCAACUGUGACCCAAAUAACACAACAAUACCCAAGUAAUAAGGUUAUUUUAUCUUUUGUUACGCUGCGCUGCCUGCGCUGAUGAAGACUCUCCCUGUAGCUUAAAGUGAAAGUGAAGCCUGACCUACUUUUGGAUUAACUUGGUUAAUAAUUAUCUUCCCACUUGAUGCACUUACAGAACAUUGGUACCUAAUUACCGGUUGCAAAACGACCCGGCCUGACGCAGCAGAACUCCGUCAAUUCCUCGCCCUUGAUCCAGAUAAACAUGCCGUGUUCAGAAUAAGAACACACAGUAAGUUCACCCCAACAAGGUAAUGUUGACGGGAACAGAACAAAUUUCAAGGAUAAUAUUUACUAGAAUCCCAGGACUUUUAUUAAGUAAACAACUUUUAAACAUUUUUACAAGAGCAUACUAUAUAGCUGAACCAAAGAUGGACAAAGUAUUAUUUCUGGUUUAUAUGAUUUAAACAUUUGGAAAUGCUCUCAACUCUGUAUGUCAAAAUAAAA